UACGGGAGGCAGCAGUGGGGAAUAUUGGACAAUGGGCGCAAGCCUGAUCCAGCAAUGCCGCGUGUGUGAAGAAGGCCUUCGGGUUGUAAAGCACUUUUAUCAGGAGCGAAAUACUACCGGCUAAUACCCGGUGGGGCUGACGGUACCUGAGGAAUAAGCACCGGCUAACUUCGUGCCAGCAGCCGCGGUAAUACGAAGGGUGCAAGCGUUAAUCGGAAUUACUGGGCGUAAAGCGUGCGUAGGCGGUUUGUUAAGUCUGCUGUGAAAUCCCCGGGCUCAACCUGGGAAUGGCAGUGGAUACUGGCAAGCUAGAGUGUGUCAGAGGAUGGUGGAAUUCCCGGUGUAGCGGUGAAAUGCGUAGAGAUCGGGAGGAACAUCAGUGGCGAAGGCGGCCAUCUGGGACAACACUGACGCUGAGGCACGAAAGCGUGGGGAGCAAACAGGAUUAGAUACCCUGGUAGUCCACGCCCUAAACGAUGCGAACUGGAUGUUGGUCUCAACUCGGAGAUCAGUGUCGAAGCUAACGCG
rnacentral:rRNA from 1 species